CCCUGGAAAAGACAAAAAAAAAAAAAAAAAAAAAAGACAAAUAAAUAAAUAAAUAAAUAUAAAAAUACCCCACCGGGUCCCUGCCCAUUGAGAUCCCAAAGUCUGCUCCAAGGCUGGAGCACCAGAGAAGUGAGACACCCGCCCAAGAAGCCCAGAUAUUUCAGGGGGUCAGAGCAGACACCUCAGGGUGUGUCUGAGCUGGGGGUACGCUAGUCAGUCUCUGGCAAGCUGGGGUGCUGGCACAGGUCACUGUCCCUGAGCCCCUAAUGCGGGGACCCUAGAGCCCAGCCCUGGCAGUGCGAAGGCAGCUCCUUCUCCUUGUUUUGAUGUCAAGCCCUCUUGGAAAUGAGCCGCAUCUCCAGUGAUGCAGCUCAGCCACUUACCAGCCCUUGGCUGUCCCCCCCAUGAGUCACCCCCUUAUCCCCCCCCACCGCCAAAUCUAGCUCCGAAGGCAAGGGGGGGGCUACUGCUGUGCAGCCGGGGCCAGGGUGGAGCCCCGCACAAGGGGGCAGGCGGCCCACACCUGCGCGCCCAGACCCGAGGUCCCUCUUGAGCCCCGGGCCUCAGGGACACUUUCCCACAACGCAGGGGAAGCUGGGGAGGUAGAGGGUCCAGCGGAGCAGCAGUGGUACUUUCUCCUAAGGGUGCAGGGGACGCGCUAGAGCGACAAAGAACGGGGCGGGGGCCUCUCCUCUGUCCAGUCCACAGGAUGAGGCCGCGUUCCCCGUGAGCAGGGGCCUUGUCUCCCAGGGCCAGGGUGGCCGCGAUCCCCCGGGGCGUGGCCGGCAGCCCCGGCAGCACCCCCCCCCCUCCCGGCGCCGCCCUGGCCCUCGGAGCCACCACAUAAGGAAAUGUCUGUGCCUGGGCGGCGCGGCCUCUGGGCAGUGGCCCGGCUCGCUGCCUCCGCCUCCCCUCCCCGCCCCUGGCCCGGCCCGGCCGGGCUGGGGCGGUCUGACCCCGGAGGAUCCGCCCAGCCCCGGACAGGCCCGGGCGCAGGGCAGGGAAGGCGGGGCGCUGAAGGGCGGCCUGGCGUCGGGAUCCGUGCUCCUCCGGCCCUGCCGCCCAAGGGGAUGGAGAGCCGCCCCUACCCCCAGGAAACGGCCGGAGCCCAGAUGGAGUUCCCAGACCACGGAUCAGAUCUGAACCUCAAUUGCGACCUAAGCUGCAGGAAGCCAGAUGCUUAACCCAUCGUGCCCCAGCUGGGGAAUGGAAUCAGUGUCCCAGCACUCCCCAGACGCCGCCGCUCCCGUUGUGCCAAAGCAGGAACUCGGCCCCUUACAGUUUUAGUUCAAGAUGCACAGGGGCAGCGUGCUCUGCUGUAAUACACACUACGUGGACUUCCAGCCUGAGCUUAGCAAGUACUGAAGAAGCUGUUUCUCUGCUCUAGGACCCUGGUAUUCUACACUUUGGGUCUAUAACCCCCUGGAGGCAAGAACUCCUUGGUUGCUGUAGCCCCAGCCCUAACAAAGACCUAACACUUA